rnacentral:tRNA from 1 species
GCAAUGGUGGUGCAGUGGUAGAAUUCUCACCUUCCAUGUGGGAGACCUGGGUUCAAUUCCAGGCCAAUGCC